rfam:Gossypium raimondii chromosome 3, whole genome shotgun sequence.
CUGAGGAAGCGUUUUACCUACGUGGACAAAAAGCGCUCCCUUAAGGGCGCGCUUUAUGUCCAAGUAGGCAAAGCGCUCCCUCAAGG